rnacentral:pre_miRNA from 1 species
GGCCUAAAUUUGAAGUAGGGUAGAUUAGAAGGACCAUCUGGUUCUAUUAAACUACUCUACUUCGAUUUGUGCCC